rnacentral:lncRNA from 1 species
GGACAACGAAGGAGAAUUUGGAAAUGGAUUGUCUUUAAUAGCUGGAGCCUCCCAAGGCCACUAUGUGUCCCCUACUGGUUGAAGAUCCUGCAAGUGUCCCCUACUGGCUUCAUGGGGCUGGUGAUGGCAGAUUUUGCCAUGAACCAAGCUUUGCAUGUUGAAGCUGAUGCUGUGUUCCAGCAGGCCUGACCCUGGGAGUCGCUCUGCUGCUUUCUGAGGGUCUCCCUGGAGCCGUGGUCAUUCCCAGGCACCGCACACCCAAGGCCAGAGCUUGGCCAGCUUUAACAGGAGUAAUGCUCGCCGCACCACCUCCUGCCGAGGGGCAUGAGUAGGAGCAGCUGUCACAGGGAGAAAGGAGGCAGAUUGUCCCUUCAUCUACAGCCCUGGAAGGAAGGCUGGUGCCCUUGAAAUGUGAAGAACUUUGCCCUCUGCCUCUGCUGUGGAUAUGGGCCACCUUACUUUGACGACCUGCACACCAAGCAAGCCUUGGUCAUUUCAGGAAGGGUGUGGGGCAGGAUGGGGGUGGCCUCAGCAAGUGGUAGCGCUGCCUGAAACAACCUGCCCUCUCCCCAACAGGGCUGUCUCUGCUGAUUGCAAGUGGCCCAGAGGACAGUUGGGCAAGUCUAAGUCAUGUGUCUUCUGCUAACACUUGAUGUAUUUAUUUGUUUGCUUGGUCUGGAGUGAAGUGACAGUUGGUCUCCCCAAGGUGGCCAGAUCCACUGUUCAUCUCCUAACCGUCUCUGUGCUCGCCUACUAUGUCCAUGGCUGCCCUGGGAAGCUGAUUCUGAUCAGUGAUGCUCCAAGACUGGAGGCCCAGGACAGGCUGCAGUGCUGGAGAAGAGACAGUGCUGUCCUGGCUUCUGACUCCACCUCUGGAGAGGCUGGUAGGACCCUGUGACUGAGUGAUCGCUCGCUCACUCCCUCCCUCCCUCCCUCACCCAACCCCGUUGUGUGUGUGUGUGUGUGUGUGUGUGUGUAGUACUACAUGUAUGCAGGCAGAACACCCCUGUGUUGGUUUUUCCUCUAGUGCUUGCUUUCCCAGGGCAGGUUGCCUACCCUGAGUCAACACUGGACUCUUGUUGUCUUUGGUGCACAGUUACUGUGAAAUUAACAAAGAAUGGUGACUGGUUAUAUGUUUAUAACUGGCAUGGUUCAGUUGCGUGUAUGUAUAUGUCUGAUACGCUGCCUGUGUGGAGAGCACAGGACAGCUGUAGAAGGGGUCCAGGUGCUUUCUGCUGUGUGGAGCUCCCAGGGCCAACCCAGCUACUGUUCCUGCCUGUGGUCUCACUGCUGCUCCGCCCCUGGAGGGACCACUGAGAAAUGACUCCACAGGACAGUUCUGCCCAGGUUUGGCUGGGAUCUUUGCACAGCCCUGCUUGCGGUCAGCUGCACCAUUCCUAGAAAUGAGCGCCGUCUUCCUAUUCCACAUACUCUGUUGGUCACGAUGGCAGUGUAAUAAAGCCAACCGCAGGUG